rnacentral:rRNA from 1 species
AUUGAACGCUGGCGGCAGGCUUAACACAUGCAAGUCGAGCGAGCGGCGGACGGGUGCGUCAUGUCUGGGAAACUGCCUGUUGGAGGGGGAUAACUACUGGAAACGGUAGCUAAUACCGCAUACCAUCAGAUGUGCCCAGAUGGGAUUAGCUAGUAGGUGGGGUAAUGGCUCACCUAGGCGACGAUCCCUAGCUGGUCUGAGAGGAUGACCAGCAGCACUGGGACUGAGGCACAGUCCAGACUCCAGCGGGAGGCAGCAGGGGGGAGGAUUGCAGAAUGGGAGAAGGCCAGAUGAAGCCAUGCCGCGGAUGUGAAGAAGGCCUUCGGGUUGUAGAGCACUUUCAGCGAGGAGGCGUUACUAGGGGAAGAAGCACAGGCUAACUCAGUGCCAGCAGCCGCGGUAAUAC